rnacentral:rRNA from 1 species
CAGUAGCCGCGGUAAUACGUAGGUGGCAAGCGUUGUCCGGAUUUAUUGGGCGUAAAGCGAGCGCAGGCGGUUUCUUAAGUCUGAUGUGAAAGCCCCCGGCUCAACCGGGGAGGGUCAUUGGAAACUGGGAGACUUGAGUGCAGAAGAGGAGAGUGGAAUUCCAUGUGUAGCGGUGAAAUGCGUAGAUAUAUGGAGGAACACCAGUGGCGAAGGCGGCUCUCUGGUCUGUAACUGACGCUGAGGUACGAAAGCAUGGGGAGCAAACAGGAUUAGAUACCCCAGUAGUCCCUGUCUCUUAUAC